GACGUAGGGGGCGAGCGUUGUCCGGAUUCAUUGGGCGUAAAGCGCGCGCAGGCGGCCACGCAAGUCGGAUGUGAAAACCCGGGGCUCAACCCCGGGCCUGCAUCCGAAACUGCGUGGCUAGAGGCAGGCAGGGGAGAGCGGAAUUCCCGGUGUAGCGGUGAAAUGCGCAGAUAUCGGGAGGAACACCGGUGGCGAAGGCGGCUCUCUGGGCCUGUCCUGACGCUCAGGCGCGAAAGCUAGGGGAGCGAACAGG
rnacentral:rRNA from 1 species